CUUUAUGGCAGCUGUGCGCGGGAGACCUUCGGGUCUGCCGGUCUCCAUCCCCGGUUCGCCAACCUGCGUACAGCUGCCACCCAU
rnacentral:antisense_RNA from 1 species